rnacentral:misc_RNA from 1 species
UUCUCCUGUGGGGUCGCACGGAGGCUGAACCAAGUAAGAAACUUCACUCGGAAGCUUGUCUCAAUGUGCCCAUCACAUUCCAACUGUCUGACCACCUUUAUGCAGUAUUCGUACGCACUUUCCGGUGAACCGUCUUUGAGGUUAUGCUCACUGCCUUCAACCCUUUCUGGAGGUAUCGGGCCAUUCUCCAGUAAAUAGCCG